rnacentral:piRNA from 1 species
UCACGAAACAUCGCGGCUGCAAAUUUC